UACGUAGGGGGCGAGCGUUGUCCGGAUUUAUUGGGCGUAAAGAGCUCGUAGGCGGCUUGGCAAGUCGGGUGUGAAACCUCCAGCUCAACCUGGAGACGCCACUCGAUACUGCCAUGGCUAGAGUCCGGUAGGGGACCACGGAAUUCCUGGUGUAGCGGUGAAAUGCGCAGAUAUCAGGAGGAACACCGGUGGCGAAGGCGGUGGUCUGGGGCCGGCACUGACGCUGAGGAGCGAAAGCGUGGGUAGCAAACAGG
rnacentral:rRNA from 1 species